GAGUUUGAAUCUUGGCUCAGGACGAACGCUGGCGGCGUGCCUAACACAUGCAAGUCGAGCGGAGACAGUGAGUAGCUUGCUAUGAGCUGUUUUAGCGGCGGACGGGUGAGUAACGCGUGAGCAACCUUUCCCAGACAGGGGGAAUAACACACCGAAAGGUGUACUAAUACCGCAUAAGACCACGGGAUCACAUGGUUCUGGGGUAAAAGAUUUAUCGGUUUGGGGUGGGCUCGCGUCCGAUUAGGUAGUUGGUGAGGUAACGG
rnacentral:rRNA from 1 species